rnacentral:tRNA from 1 species
GCCGAUGUAGCUCAGCCGGUAGAGCAACUGAUUCGUAAUCAGUAGGUCGCCAGUUCAAUCCUGGCCAUCGGCUCCA